CCAAAGGAAAUCAAACUGUCCUCUCUUUCCUUAUUGAUUUUUAGGUUUUCUUUGUCAUUCAGCUAAAGCCUGCACAUUCUGAGUGACUCACAAUCCCUUUGAUUCAACAGUUGCUGAAGUGGUAAUUGUUUAAGAUAAAUAAGCACAUCUGGAAAGGCAUUCAUACAGAUCCAUCUUAGAAAAUCUGCAUUUUUGCAUUACAUCAGGUCUGAUGCAGACCCGGAACGCUCUUUAAAAUGUUUUGCCAUCACCACAGUGAUAUAGUAUAUUUCAUCAAUAAGAUGACGUUUUAACAGUGUGAAAACAGAUGUCUCUAUUUUUUUUACUCUUAUUUACAUUAUAAAUAUAGCAUUUUUUAUUUGCAUUUCACUGUGGAGGACUGAUUGUAUUUUAACAACCAGUGAAGAAAAAAAAUGAUGAGGACUAUUGUCAUGACAAUUAUUUCUUCAAGGAAGAUUGUCCGGACAUGUUCGAGUUACAGCCAUCUAUUAUGGUGUGAAACAUCUAAAUCGAGUGGGACAAGUCAAGACAAGUUUCAUGUUGCAGGAGUAACAAGAAGGUAUGUUUUUUUACACCCCCUGCUGGUAUAAUGAAGGACCCUACACUUCUUAUUCUUACAUACUAAUACGUUUCUACUGCCUCCCCACAACCUGGUACUGGAUUUUUCUGGAUAGUUGCAGUUUCAUGCACCAUUUUUAGCCAUCCUAUACAGUUUAACUCAUUAUUAUUUAAGUGUGUUGAAAUAUACAUUUUACAUUAAUAUAACAUACAUCAUUACAGAGCUUGGGAAGUACAUACAAUACAUUACGACACACUGGCAAAGAGAAUUCUAAUAAGAACCAUCAACUUAUAUGGAAAAAUCAACAUGAAUUAUUUAGAUUAAAAAGAUUAAAUGCCUAUUCCUUUGUUUUCCUUUUAAUUUUCUUUUUGAUGACAAGCAAGGUUAAGGUGUGUAGUUUACCACUGUGUAAUGAUUUUGAAAUGUUGCAAUAUACAGAAUAAUAUGCAAUAAGACACUCUCUACAUAGUAGUGUAUGUAAAUAUGCUUGUUUAUUGUGUUCUUCUCUUCUAAUGUUGACACUUUCAUUUUCAUUUUUUGUAUUUUCUUUGUACUGGAUAUUACAAUAAAGAUUAAAUUCUAUUGUGAUCUAUUCAGAUUAUAUAAAUCGCCAAAUGCACUUCAUUCUUGUGUGGUCAUCUGGUUUAAUGGCAACUAUCCAUUUAACUCUCCACUUUGAACCACCAUUUCAAUAAAAACGUUGUUAAAAUGUUGUUUGGUUAGUUGGUUAGUUAGUUGGUUCAUUGCGCAUUCUUAAAUUUAAUAAAUGUCACGUCAUAUCUUAUCACACCAGUUUUAGAACACACUCAGCAAGAACAGCCCUUUUCAUAUAGAUUAAUAGCCCAACGGUGUUUAAAGUCAGAGUGUUUCUUACUUCUGUGCAAGAAGUGUCAGUAAUACACCGUCGAUGCGACGUCGAACACCGUUUAUUGAUGUUUGGGCAAUGGGUCUAUUUUUCCUGUCGGAGGACUAUCGGUUUUUCAAGCCGUACAACUCGAGGUGUAUAAAUAUCAGUCUGCGGCACAGUGAAACCAUACUGCAUGUGCAAUGAAAACACUUCGUCGGUAUUAGACACGUCCCAGGUUUUUCAACCGUCAAAGAUGAUCAAUUUGGAGAUCAGAGCAAACAUCAAAUUUUUAACCAAACUUGAAUGGAAACCUGUUAAAAUUAUUGAAGCUUUGCAACAGGUUUAUGGGGACGCUUCACCAUCUAGAGCUGUUGUUUAUGCCUGGAUCAAACGAUUUAAGGAGGGUAGGGAAGGUCUCCAAGACGACCCCAGGGAAGGAAGGCCUUCCACGUCAAAAAAUGAACAUAAUGUUGAGCUUGUCAGAAAUCUAGUGGCAGAAGAUAACCAAAUCACAGUGGAUGCAGUUGCCAGUGAGGUUGGAAUCUCCCAUGGUUCUGCUUUUUCAAUUUUGACCCAAGAGCUUGGUCUGAGAAAACCUUUAGCUCGUUGGGUCCCAAAAACUUUCAGCGAGGAUCACCUGGCUCAGACGCCUGACGAUCUCCAGUGACUGCAUAUAUGGAGAAAAAGGAUUUAACCAAGUGAACCAAAAAAUAAAAUUCAAUCAAAACCAUGGCUACCAAAUGGAACACCUCGACCUGUGAAGUUCAAAGCAGAGAGCUUGGUUCAAAGCUGCAGUUUCCACAGUUCCAAAGGAAUCCUUGUGCAAUGGCAAGAUGACAAAGUCCAAAAAGAAAAACUUGCUUAGAAUGUCGCUGGACGUGCUGCUAUCCUGUCUUUAAUGUGCAUGAACAGAUUUAAUGCACUUCAUCAUAUGCCUAUCUGUUUUUACUGAGGAUGCUGCGGAUCAUGAAAAAACAAAUAUUUCUUCUAGUUUUGCCUUUGUGACCAAGAGAGAUUCCCAUGCUUUGACAGUUAAAAAAAAAAGCCAGGUUUCCAAGGUUUUUUUUUUCCUGGGGGAACAAGCUCCUUGGUCUGUUCCUCUAGGUUUUGCUUUUGUCCUUAUUUGCAGCAACAAUUAAAAAAAAAAAAGCAAAAGACUCUGGUGUUGGACUCCUGAUUAGGUCAGAACAGGGUUCAAUUCCCUGCGGUGUUGCUUUUCAGUUUGCUGUGUGGUGCCGGUUCAAUUACUUAAAAAACCUAAGAAUGCAGAAUAUGGAAACUUGAUAGGCUUAGAUUUAUGGAAGACAUUUUGGAACUGAAAGCAUAGGCACCAGUAGCAAGAGCAAUGGGGAAAACCUCACAUACUUAUUGUUAGAAUUUUCCUUUGGUAUCUUGUUCUAAAUAACACACACAACAUUACAUGUGUUUACAAUGAUGACAGCUGUACAUAGUGUGCUGACAAUUUCUUAUAGUGCAUCUUUAAUAUCUUAAGUGGGAAACCUGAUUUUUAUUUUUUUUAUCUGAAACUAUCCUUAAUAAAAAUCUAAAUAAAAA